UGACUAGAGCUAACACCCAAAAGAUUACUUUUUUUUAAAUGGAUUGGAAAUGCAUGGGAUGCAAUAUUCCACAAAGGUGCUGAUAACUUGUUUCUCCAGCAGCUGAAUAAAUAUAACAUAUAGCUGCCCCAUAUAUGAAGUAUGUCCGAGCUUUUGAGGAUAUGGCGCCGGGAAAUGAUGCAUGAUUUUUGUCUGCUUCUGGCAGUCCAUUGACAUUUAACAUUACUGUCAAUUAGUUAUAGUUAAUUUAGUUUUACUGGACAUAGAGUGCAAUGUGUUAUCUCCUCCCAAAGUAAAAAGCUGCAUUGACUUUUGAUCAGGUGGACUUUGCGUACAUGUUGGAUGUAGACAGUCUUGGUUUUAAUGUCAAGGUGAGGCUGCUAUUCCAUAUCCACUGUUGUUAAUUCAUGUCUGUUGUAACUUUUUCUAUAAUUAUUUUAUCUCUAAUAUUUAUGUAGUGGAGAUAUGCACUUGCGACAUUCUGUGAGUUUGUCUACUUCAAAAUAUGUAAAUUGCUAGUAACCUUUUUUAAGGAAAUUGGCAGUUAUGCCAAGAAAUGACUAGUUGAGGAAGUGAACAGAAAUAUUUUCUCUUGCUCAGCUAUGACAAGUGCUUUUUUCUUUCAAGCAUGGCAUGGACUGUAUACUUGCACUUUAAUUUUAAUUUCAGGCUUGCUACAAGGACACCGACUUCAAGCUUCGAGUUCCAUUCCCUAGACGUGCUGUAGACAGAAAGUAAGUGCCCAAAGUUCUAUCAGAAUUCUUUUGUAGGAGUGUACAAUUCACGUUGAUCUCCUUUUUUUGCUUCCUUUACUCUUCCCAUUUUCUGAUGCAAUGUCUGUUUUAUUAUAUGCUGUUUUUUCUCUUGUUUUCUUUUGGGUUGGGUCUGGCUUAAGAUCUAAUGUCUUUACUAGUGUGUUCUGGGUGAAAAUAAAUUUUUGAGUACACAUGUAGGAUCCUACAUGUUCAACUGAUAUCUCUAACCAAAACAGCUGGUAAUGUGGAACGAUACAAAAUUAUAUUCAACUGAUAAGGGAGAAAUUACAAGGUAACAAUUCUCAACAUAGGAAACCGGAGAAAAAAAUAGACAAAGAGAUAAUAGAAAAGGGAGACUGACUCCAAAAUGCUAAAACUUUAGCUAAGAAAAUAAAGAUGCAAGUUCUUCCAUGCCCUAUUCUAGAGCUCCUGUGCUGUUUAUAUAGGAGGGUUUUGAUCUGAAUAUUUCUUGGCAGCUGGUUCAAUAUGUGCCACGGUAUUUGGCAGGGGUAGUGAUCCUUUCUUGGUUUUUGGGACCACAUACUCAUCCAGGUAUUUUUGGGGACUGCUUGUCCUUGUUGUUGUGCCUCAGUGUACCCAAGUGGUCCUGCAGGUUUGUUACACUGCCGCCCCCAUGAAGACGAACCUUGUUCUCAAGGUUCAAGUCGGGAAAACAAUAGAGUGAGUGCAGGAAGGUCUUCCAGGUGGCCUCAGUCGGAGGCUAGCCCUGCCAUUUGACCAGGAACUGGGUGAUCUGAUGUCCUCACUUUGUGACAAUGCGCUGCUCCGAAAUGUCUUCAGGUGUGAGCAUCAAAGAGGAGUCUUGGUCUAUAAGAUCAAUGGGGGUAACCUGUUGAUCAGGGUUCCCUAAACACUUCUGCAGAACCGAAACAUGAAAGACGGGGUUGUAUUUUGGAGAAAGAUUGGAAGUCCAGUUUGUAGGCAACCUCACUUACAUGAUGGAGCACCCUAAAUGGCCCGAAGAACCUUCGACUGAGUUUGGUUUGGCACUGAAGGCGAAGAGAGAGCUGCCUGUAGGGACGUAAUCGAACAUACACCCAAUCUCCAAUCUGAGAGCUUGCAUCUUGCGUCCCUUGUCUGCAUCCUGAUUCAUACGUUCCUGGGAAGCCUGCAAAUUGGACUUCAAGAGGGCCAGUGUUUCAUCUUGGCGACAAAGGGACUCUGCCACAUUUGGAUUAAACGUGUGAUCCAUGAUGUAUCGAGCUACUGUUGGGGGAUGCCGACCAUAAACAAUCUCAAAAGGAGUAGGCUAAAAGCUAUGUUGGUAUGAUGUGUUGUAUCGAAAAUCGCCCACGAAAGUAGACGGAACCAAGUAGUAGGGAUAUCCGCAGCAAACCGUCGAAUAAAAAUCUCAAAGACACUUAUUGAGAGCCUCUGUUUUUCCAUUCGAUUGCGGAUGAUAAGCAGAGCUCUUUGCUAAUUAGGUCCCUUGCAGUCAAUUGAUCUCAGCCCAAAAAUCAGACAAGAAAAUAGGAUCAUGGCCUGAAACAAUUGAGAAAGGAAAGCCAUGUAGUGAGAGGUAUUCUUGGACAAACGCUCCACGGACUUCUUUUAUUUUUUUGAUGAAGUAAACACUUCCACGAACUUGUGACUAGUGAAUUUCGGGGGCAAGGCAAUGAAAUGGCCAUGUUUUGACAAUCUGUCCACGAUUAAUAGAAUGACUGUGUCCCUGAGAAGGUGGGAGACCAGCUACCAAAUCCAUAGAAAUAUCCUCAAAAAUUGCAGCAGGUAUAGAAAGUGGAAGAAGAUAUCCAGCAGGUUUCAAACAUGUAUCCUUCAUUUGCUGGCAUACCUGGCAAUUUAGGAUGAGCUGCUUGACAUCCUUGCUCAUACCUGGCCAAUGAAAAUUGGAUGAGGCGGUGAAAGAACCUCGUAAUACCAGCAUGACCUCCAAUUUUAGAAGAAUUUCAUUCUUCUAAGAGCAAAUGUUUUAGUAAUGGAUCAGGGGGAAUAAUCAAAUGCUCACGAAAAAGAAGCAAGCCUUCCUGAAAGGUGAGGUGAAAGUGAAGCUGCUGGAGUAAAUGAAGAAAAGGGUGAAAGAGGUGGGGUUGAUUUGUGGCGCAAUGUCUGGUGGGUUGGAUAAGAGAUAGAAAGAUAUUUUGUGAUAGGAGGGGCAGGUUCGGUGUUUUAACUUGGGCCAAUAGUUUCUACUCCUGUAACAUGGCCAAACUAAUAGCCUCAUGAAUGUCUGUGGGUCUAAAUGCUAAACAUUAGUUUGAUCACCGGAGUAAGCCCAGAUACAAAAGAAAAAUUAACGCAUCAUCUCUGGAGAAGCAUCAGUAGUGUGAUUUGCAAGCUGCCCAAACCGAGAAAGAUACUAAGUGAUGGUAGAUGUCAUUUGUAACUUCUCCAAAAACUCCUCCGAUGCUUCAAUGAUUGUGAACCAAAACGAAUUACCAAAGCUUUGGUAAAGUGUCCCCAGACAAUCAGUUGAUGGUUCUUAUAUAUCCAUUGAUACUAAUCUCUAGCUAUGCCCUCAAGAUAGAACGAGACAAGGUUCGAACGAUGUUCAUCCUGGAUAUUAUAGGCGUCAAAGUAUUGGUUUGCUUGGAAAAUCCAACUUUCAGCAAACUGGCCGUCAAAACGGGCUAGAUCUAUGGGUGCUGGUAUCUCUACGAAGAGGGCCGAAAGGGUUUUGGUUUAUAGCAAGGGUGGCUGUUGCGGUGGGUUCAACGACGGAGCGUAGGUGGGUGGAGAAAGGUGUUGAUAGAAGAAUUUUGUGUUGGUGGUAUGGAAGAAAACUAGGGUUAGAGGUUGUUGGUCUUUUUUUUUGAGGGCUGGGUGUUCUGAUUCUGGGUCUAGAGUGUGGAAAUUUGGGAGAUAAUUUAUUUGAAGUGUGGAGUUAAUGGACUCAAAAGUCUUACUGUGAGAAUCAAUGGUUUCUUGCAGCUGCUUGACGGCCUCGUCCAUUGUCCUUUUGAUGACAAUUUAUUUAAAAAUGUAUUAGUUUUCGUAGUUUAUACUAGUUUUAAUUGUUGGAUCAAAAAGGAUUUCAAUUUUACUGCGAUGGAGGAGGGACUAUGAAACUAAUCUCUGAAUUAUCUCAUUAUUGGAAACAAAAAAAAUGCUUAUUUGAUGAUCACAAAUUAUUAGUACUCCCUCCGUCCUAUAUUAGUUGUCAAGGUUACUAAUAAUGCUCGUCCCAAUUUACUCGUCAUUUUACAAAAUUAAGAUGAAAUUAACUUUUUUUGUUUCAUUUCACCCUUAGUAUUAAAUGUUUCUUGAAAUAAGAUUAGCUUAGUUUUGUUCUUAAAUAGAGUGCAAUUUAUUGUAGACAGAUAAAGUGUAAAGUAGUAAAAAAUACUACUUUUUGUUUAUGAUUUCUUAAGGAAAAUGUGACAAUUAAUAUUGGGACAGAGGGAGAAUUGUCCUCGUGUUCAACAAACAACCAAUUUAUGUUUCAUGGUUAGACCAAGCUGCAUUAUAAUCUACUUGCAUAAAUGAGCAUAGUGCCUAAGAUUUCCUCAGUUUGUCUUCAAUCUACAAGGACUAAGUGGAAGUUGGUUUGGGGAAUUUUCUCAAAUCAUCAAGAGCCCCAUAUUCAGUUUCUCCUAAAUCUUUAUUUUUCAUUGCUUUUGUUAUAGUCACCGUUUUCGUAUAAAUUGAGGUCCUAAAAAAGUGUGUUACGUCUGCUAUAUUUUGACAUGCCUACUACUGUGUUUCCAGUCUAAAUCUUCCCUAUAUCAAAUUUGCAGGGAUGUGAAGGCACUUAUUGUUGAAAUGCUUCAGGCUGCCAGGACUUAGGCUCAUUGACUAACCAUUAUGAUUUCCCAUUCCAGCUUCAUAUUGGUGUGGUAGUUCUAUAUCAUGUAACUAUCAAAAGCACGGCUCUGUGGAAUGCUUGUUUCACAAUGAGAUCUCAAGAUUCCUAAGCAUAUAUAUGUAAUCUGAUAGCAAACCAGCCAUUUUAGCGAUCAUGAUCUGGCUCUGGUGAAGUUUCCCAACCCCCCCCUUGAUAAUACACUGUAAUGUUUGCCUAUGUUACGUGUCGUAAGCAGUGCAAUUGCAAUGAUGGUGAUGUGAUUAAAGUUUAAGUCAUCUCGAUUGUACCUUUGAUGUGCAAUCGUGUAUAGUAAAUGUUUGAGUUGACCGUAGUCGAACCUUCUGUAUAAUUGCAUAGGCUAGGUUGCGAUUGUGAAGGGUAAAAUGUCAUCAGUGCUGUAUUCACGCCCAAGUCAUGUAAUCACAAUGAAAAACUUGUAGCUACAUAAAUAGUUGAGAAUGAAAACUAACAACCAACAUUGAAGAUUUUGGGUGAAGUGUCCUUGGUUUGGAGAUAAAAUGAGGAGCAUAUUCAACCUACAACUCAAGUUAACGAUUUCCUACACUAAUUUUGAGAUUAUACUCAAAUUUGGUGUAUUUCAACUAUGAAAUACUGAGUUUUUCAUAGUUAGAAUUGUGUAAUUUAGACCUAGGUUCAAAUUGAGAAAGUUGAGCAAUUGGCCUAGCAAUCUAAGUUAAAAUUAGAUUAUGAAUAUAGAUAUAGAAUCCUUAGCUACUUGUUAGGCGGACCUGAAAGCAUGCAAUUUUUCGGUUCAUUACCGAAAUAAUUAAUUAAUUUUGAAGUAGGUAAAAACACACAAAAGUUUUGAAAGCGAAGAAAUGAGGAAAUGCCUAAAUUACCCCUAGGAUCUAGUAUUUCAAGUCAUGAUGAGCUACUAAAACGGAAUCAAUACAAUAGUUUUGAAUGUAAGUAGUGCUUGGAAUAUAGAACACCAAUAACAAAAUAGGGAGGGAGUACACAGUGUUCUGAACUAAGCAGGUACCCCAUAAAUCUCCAAAUCACCUUUUAAGCCUGCUUUCUAUCUUUAUUGAUACAAGGAUUAAUAUAUGUACAAAAAGUACAGUAAGUGCAACGUAAGUACAAAAAUACAUACUUGGUAAGUACAUCAACUACCCCAACUAAGUAGUGGCAAGAGUUGGUCAGAAAAUACUUACUUAUACCACCUUUGUAGAAAUAAGGCAAUCUGAAUAGUAGUAAAUGAACAAAUUCAACAAAAUAACUUUGUUGUCUUCUGAGUCAACUUUGUCAAAAGGGAUGAAAUAGAUGAAAACCCCUCUACGAGCCUUCUAUAAUAACCAUCCAAUCCCAAGAAACUCCUAACAUCAGUUGGAGAUGUGGGCCUAGGCCAGUUUUGCACUGCCUCAAUCUUCUGAGUGUCAACUCGAAUCCCAUCACUAGAAACAAUGUGGCCUAAGAAUGCCACAGACUUAAGCCAAAACUCACACUUAGAGAAUUUAGCAUACAACUCUCUAUCCUUGAGGGUUUGGAGAACUAUUAUGAGAUGACUAGCAUAAUCUUCCUCAUUCCUCGAAUAGAUUAGAAUGUCAUCGAUGAAUACGAUAACAAACAUAUCAAGAUAAGGCUUAAACACUCUGUUCAUAAGAUCCAUGAACGUUGCAGGAGCAUUAGUUGAACCAAACGAUAUGACCAGAAACUCAUAAUGACCAUAACAGGUCCUGAAUGCUGUCUUAGGGAUGUCACUUUCUCUUACUCCACUUGAUGAUAGCCUGAUCUGAGGUCUAUUUUAGAAAAACAAGUGGCAACCUGAAGUUGAUAAAAAAGAUCAUCAAUCCUCGGAAGUGGAUACUUAUUCUUGAUAGUAACCUUAUUCAACUGACCGGUAAUCUAUACACAUUCUAAGAGAAUCUUUCUUCCUCACAAAUAAGAUCGGAGCGCCCCAAGGUGAGACACUUGGUCGAAUGAAGCCUUUUUCAAGGAGAUCUUUCAAAUGCUUUUUCAACUCCUUCAACUCAGCUAGAGCCAUUCUAUAUGGAGGAAUAGAUAUAUGACGAGCAUCAGGAAUAAUAUCUAUACCGAAGUCUAUUUCUCUCUCAGGAGGGACUCCGGGAAGAUCAUUUGGAAAGACUUUUGGGAACUCACUCACAACUGGAACUGAUUGAAUAGGUGGUGUCUCAACACUAGAGUCAUUAACUCGGACUAAGUGAUAGAUACACUCCUUGAAAACUAACUUUCUCGCCUUAAGGUAUGAAAUAAAAAGACCUUUAGGUACUGCUAAACUACUCCUCUGCUCAAUAACUGGCUCAUUAGGAAACUGGAACUUAACUACUCGAGUCCUAUAAUCAACUGAGGCAUAACAGGCAUGAAGUCAGUCCAUACCUAUAAUGACAUCAAAAUCUACCAUGUCUAACUCAACUAAGUCAGCCAUGGUGUCCUUGUGAUUAACAGAAAUGACACAAUCAUGAUAAACGCUCUCAGCUAGAAUAGACUCACCAACAGGUGUGAAAACACUGAAGGGCUCAAGAAUUUUCUCAUGAAGAACAUCAAAACUCAUAGCAAUAUACAGAGUCACAAAAGACAGACUCACUUUUAGAUCAAGCAAAACAUAUACAUCAAAAGUAAAGACUUUGAUCAUACAUGUGACAACAUCUAGUGAAUUCGAAUUCUCUUGCUCUUGGCGACUGGUGAUAGCAUACAAGCUAGAAUAGACUCACCAACAGGUGUAGAAACACUAAAGGGCUCAAGAAGUUGCUCAGGAAGAAUACCAAAAUCCAUAGCAAUAUAAGGAGUCACAAAAGAUAGACUCGUUCCUGGAUCUAGCAAAGCAUAUACAUCAAAACUAAAAACUUUGAUCGUACUAGUGACAAUAUCCAGCGAAUUCCCUUGCUCUUGGCGACUGGUGAUAGCAUACAGAUGGUUUGCUCCUCCGCCCGUCCCUGAAGUAGCUCCUCUAGGUGCAACUCUGUCUGGUGGAGCCGCUGAAGAAGAUUUGGGUCUAUUGGCCCCAUUACCACCACCCUGCAUGUUCUUAGGGCACUUUCUCAUGAAGUGACCUGCCUGACCACACUUUGAAGCAACCAGUGGAGCCAUCACGACACACUCCUGGGUGGUUUCUACCACACUUAGCACAUGCAGGAGUCCACUUAGUUGGUAUGCAUCUAGUUCUACACGCUCAGAAUCUACAAUAUGCAUCACCUCAAACACCUUCUGCAACUCUUCCACAAAGUUUUCCAAAUCCUCAUUGACACUUGAACCUGUGAAGUCUAGAGGAUUCAUCCUCAAGAACUCACGAAUCUUGGAUGUAUUUGCCACAUCCUGUCGAUUCCCUCUUUGUUGUCCAGCUUGGUUGGUCACCACUUGACUCAACAUCCGAAUAGCAUCCCGAAACUCAACAUUAGUGACCUCUCAUUGGGGUCGCACUUCUGGUGCAUUGGGUACCCUUUGAUCCUGAGGAUCAAUAUUCCUCAUACCGGGAUGACCUAUAAUAGCUCUUCGUUGAGGCAUAAUCUGAAAUAUACGCGCAAGCACGAAUUAGAAGAAACUUUUAUAGAGUUGAACUAUAUCGCACGAAAUAAGUAUGAAAGAAAUAAGAUAGUUCCUAAAUGUUGUAGAUGUGGCGUGCUUCACAUCGAUAACUAGGACUCUACAGACACGAAUUCAUAGACACCCUAGGACUCUUGAACUUUGUGCUCUAAUACCAAGUUUGUCAUGCCCCGAGCCUAUACCCUGGACGUGGCCGACACUCGAGAACCAUUGCUGGCUCCAAGAGAACUCUUAGCCUGACUCAACUAUCAGCGGAAGACUUACUCAACAUUGGAUAAACUCAAAAGUCUCAAAUACUUAACUUAGAACAUUUAAAAUAUUCAAACUGUCCACAAGGGCAACUCAAGUCUAGAACAUUAACAAUAGAAAAUGAAAAAGACUCAUGAACUAACACAGACUAUUUAUUAAGCCUCUACUAACUGAGAUGGAUGUCGGGACAAGACCCACGACAUCCUACUAAGCAAAAACUGAUUGAAAAGUAAACUCAAGGUGAAACCCUUUGGAAAGCAAGAAGGCUCACCAACUCUACCUGGAACUCGACUGGAUCAACGGAGCGCCGGUUGAUGAUCCUAAUUCCCUGUAUCUGCAUCAUGAAACGAUGCAGACCAAAUAACAUCAGUACAUGGAAUGUACGAGCAUGCAAAGGGAAGUCUAAAACAUGACAUAAGCUUGAACUAGAACUGAAGAAACAACUUACCUCGUCUCAACUCAACUCAACCUCAACUCAAUCUCAACUCAUUUAAAUAGAAAAGCAAUAAUAGUAAUGCGAUAUAAAGAAAAGCUUUUAAAACAGUAGAUAACAACUCAAUGUAUUGGAAAAUACAAUAUAAGUCAGUUUGUACAUAAAAAUACAAAAUAAACUCAGUUUCAGAGAUUUUCUAACUGACAACAAUCACUAUGAGCUAUGUGAUAAUACAACGUCUUUCCUACGCUGCCGGAACUAUCUUAUACCUUGACGGGGUACAGAACUCCUCAACUAAGUAGAUCCACUAAGCUAUGCUUAAAAAGAAAUAAGGAAUCAUCUGAAAAGUAUGACCCUUUCUACCCACGUUGACUACAUGGUUUAUGGGGGCUAUGAGUUAUCUGAACUCUCCCCCAUAUCGGUGCUCAAUACUACUCCCAAAAUAUAACUUAGCUCAUAUGUUUAAAAAAAAAACAUUUCCUCAUCCUCAACUUUGAUAUUAUUACUCAAAAGAUUUCUCUUAAAUGAGACAGUACUCAAAACUCCUCAUGAACUCGUUUGGAAAUCGGUGUUUCCUCUCAUCUUAGAUGUAAAGACAUUUACUCUUGGGAAUACUUAGUUCCCAUAUAUCAUUUUUAAAAAAAAAGAACUCAACUCUACUCAUCCUCAAACUCAAGUACUCAAGUCUUAAAACAAGUUUUAAAAGAUUGUAAAAGACUUCUCAAAACGACUCGGAAGAACUCUCAAGACUUUACUCUUAACUCUACCUUGAGUUUGAAUUAUGAAUUCAAGGGUUAUGAUUCAUGUUAUGAAUGAUCUCUUGAUGUUUAACAAAGAUUUUAAGUGUGGAUAUCAAGUAGAAAAUAUGGGUACGAUUCGAGGGAACUCACAUGGAAAGAAGGACGGAAGUGUAGGGAACCUGGCGACCCUGGCACACUGAGUGGCGUGGGGCGCCAGGCCCUGAACUACUGAAGGUGGGUUGGGGCGCACUGAGUGGCACGACACCCUAGGCCCCAACCUACAGAAACUUACUUGGGGAACACUGAGUGGCACGGCGCGGCGCCCCACCCCUUCUCCCAGAAUUUUGAUGAAUUUUCUUGCUUCGUUUUCAUGUCUAACUCCUCUAGAAUCGAACGAUUCCCCUCAAACUCUUAUGGAUUCUUACACCCAACUAGGGGUGUUCACGGGUUGGUUUGGAUCGGUUAUUGGUUAAACCAAACCAAACCAACUUAAUCAGUUUUAAAAUUAUCAAAACCAAACCAAACCAAAUAUAAUAUAUAUUUAUCGGUUUGGUUGUUAUCGGUUUUGAUUCGGUUUGGUUCGGUUAUUCGGUUAUUAACCAUACGUAAAAAUAUCUCAUCAUUUCUUGCAAAAAAAUAUAUAACCAUACGGUCUCUACUCUCUACAAUGUUAAACCAAAAGAGGUCAGCCCAAAACUUUGAUAAUCUUUACAAAUUGUUCUACAUAUACUAGAGAAAGUUGUAUGCACCGAGUUACAAACAGUAUGCUCAUUCAAAGUUCCUGGCCCUUUUUUGCUUCAAGAUCCUUUUAUGGUUUUAUUGCAUUUGGAAGUAUCCACAUUAGUAACUUUACUAGUUUCAACAAAAACAAAAAAUAGUGUCCACAUUAGCAAAGUAAAGGCAGUAUUUGCACAUAGCAAAUAAAUUCAACAUCAAGUUUAAUAACAAAUGUUGUCAUAUAAAGACGAUCUACAUCUCCUCUCCUUUAAUUUCUUUUACUCAAAAGAAAGGAAACAUUUAUAUUUUCUAUCUUCCUUUUUCUUCAAUUGAAUCAACUUAAUCAAUUCUCAAAGGUGUACCUGGAUGUUCUGAAAAAAGAAUGAUUAUAUUAGAUAUUAAAAAUAAAAAACAUGAAAGUAUAUAAACAAAUUAUAAUUCAGUAAUUAAUUGUGUGAAGUACCUUUUUCAAGUAUCUCAAGAUUUUGAAUUUCAUCUAAAAGAUCUUCAAACUUGUACUCUUUAAAAGUUGCCGUCCUUAACCAUUGUUGACUACAAAUAAGAGCUUCAGCUGUCUUUGGCGAUAAAGAACUUCGAUAACAAUCAAGAAUUCGACCACCUGUGCUAAACGCCGACUCUGAUGCAACUGUAGAAACAGGAAUAACAAGCACAUCUCUCGCAAUCUUGGAGACAAUUGGAUAUCUCUCAGAUGAAGAUUUCCACCAAGCCAAGAUAUUAAAAUUCUUGCUCUUCUCCAAAUCAUCCAAUAAAUAUUUAUCGAGAUCAGACUUAGUAUCGACAUUAUUUUCAUUUUCAACAAACUUUUCCCAUUGAGAUUGCACAUCACAAUCUUGCAUUUUAUUAUUUUGACUCAUCUCACUAGCUAGAAAUUUAAUAUUUUCAGCAUGAGUCUCAACAAGUGAAUUUGCAUAGUGAGUAUACAAGAGAGAUAAAGUAUUAUUCACUUUAGUAGAUCUAUCUACUCCCUCCACAGGCUUAUAAAAUAUCUUAAAAAGAAACUCCACAUACUUGAACUUAUAUCGAGGAUCCAAUACAAUAGCAACAAAUAAUAACAUAUUCAUAUCAUCAAAGUCUCCCCAAUAUUUAGUAAAUUUUUUUUCCAUAUGCUUAGCCAUAUUACUCAACAAAGGAUCACCAGAUCUAGAAUAUUUGAGAAUAUAACUUUGAAGAUUAUAAAUCUCAUGAAAGAAAUAGUUAGAAGUGACAUGUAAAGUUCCCGAAAAUUUCAAAGUGAUCUGAUAGAAAAUUUCAAGAAACUUAAUAAAUACUCUUACAUUCUGCCAGUCAUCUACAGAUGGGUGUUCUCUUGUUCCUUUCAAGUUUAGAUAAUACCUAAAGUACUUAUGAUCAUCUUCAUACAUUCUUGCAAAGGCUUUUUCAAAUUUUUGAGCUGUGUUUAGCAUUAAAUAUGUUUAGUUCCACCUUGUCUCAACAUCCAAACUCAAAAGGCCACGAGUGUCUAAUUUGACUUUCUCAACAUAUGACCUAAAGGAAUCAGUUCUUGAAGCAGAAGACUUAACAUAUUUCACAACAAGCCUUACUCGAGAAAUAGACUCGUUUUGUUCAUUAAGACCUUCUUUCACAAUCAAAUUUAGAAUAUGAGCAUUACACCUAACAUGUAAAAAAUUAUUUUCCAAUAUAAUACCUUUCCAAUAAUUAAUUCUCGCUUUCAAGUGCGUGAUUGCAGCACUAUUAGCUGUUGCAUUAUCCAAUGUCAUUGUGAAUAGAUUCUCAAUCCCCCAAUCCAAUAAACAUGCCUCAAUUCCUUUGGCUAUCGUCUCACCUUUAUGAUCUGGAAUAUGAAAAAAAAUUAGAAUUUUCUUUUGCAAAUUCCAUUCCUCAUUUAUCCAGUGAGCAGUAAUGACCAUAUAGGUCAAAUUUUGAAUUGAUGUCCAAGUAUCACUUGUAAGACACACACGCUGAUCUUUAAUAAGCCUUUUAAGCUUAUUUUUCUCCUCUUGAUAAAUCUGCAAACAUUGUCUAGCAACGGUGAUGCGAGAAGGUAACUCAUAAUUAGGCAAAAUGAGUGUCAUUAAUCUUUUAAACCCUUCCCCCUCUACAACUUUAAAUGGUUGUUCAUCAAGAAUAACAAACUCAGCAAUGGCCUUCUUAACCUCAACAACAUUAUAAACAAUCUUUUCCAAAGUCCCUUGUCCCCCUUCUUUGAUAGGUUUAAGCUUUAGGGUUGGCUGUGAUAUAUCAAUGAUUCUGUAAGGGGAUUUGGCACAAUUACUGUUUAUAUGUGUCCAUAGAUUAGAAGUCCCAUACUUACUAGGGCAAGAAAGUACUUUAGAGCAAUAAUUGCAUUUUCCCUUUUGUUCACCUUUCUUAUCAAGAAAUUUUUCAAAGUGGUUCCAAAUUUGUGAUGUUUCCCUACCACUCCCUCCAUGGCUAGGAUCUUGACCAGAAACAGUAGUUCUUUUUUGUUUUUUAGGAGGAUUGCACAUAGUAGAACUUGUAGAAGUUUUAAGAGUGUUACCAUGUGCUCGAACUAUUGCUGGCGUGGGUGUAAUUUCUUUUUCAGCCACCUUUGAUCCUUCAACUUACAUUGUUUCAAUCUGAAAAAAGAAAUCAAAAAUUUAAAGAUUAAAAUCAAGAAAUUUGAUUUACUAGUAGACAACCUAUUAAUAAAAUUUAACAAUGAAUACUUUACCUGUGACAAAUGGUUGAAGAGAUGUAGAAAAUUAAUUUGCAAGUUGCAAUAGAAAACAAAUCUCAAAGAGUUGAUGAAAAGUGCCGCUGCACUUUUUCACAGCAAAAGAACGUGUUUAGUACAAUAGUACUUUAUUGAAUUUGACCUAAGAGUCAAAAAGCUACAAUUCUUGUAGUUGUAUUUAUUGAAUGAGGCUUCAAAUUAUGGGCCUUUUGCUAGGUUUUAAUGUCUCUUUUUAUUAUUAUUUUUUAAUACAUUUUUUUGAACAAUAUAUAUAUAUAUAUAUUAUAUAAUUUGUCGGUUUGGUUUGGUUAUUUUUGUAAAUUUUUUUUAACAAAUCCAUUGAAGCACCAUUUGUCAGGACUCUUUGGCGUAGUUUUCUUGGCUUGGACAUGGCAUUUAGUCCAUGUUGCUUUUACUUCAUCCAGAGGGGAGUACGUUCAGGGAAAUAAUUUCUUAGAUGUAUUACUUCAUCCCCAAGGGUACGCAACUAUGUACAGCAGAGGUAAUAAAUUUUCAUGCUUCAUUUGUUACAGAGAAUGUGAGGUAUGCUACUUGAACGAAAGUAGAAUAUAUUAGAUGGAGCAAUAAAAGCACAAAAUAUUGUUGAAUCAUGUGACUUGGGAGAAUGUUUAGGAUAUUUAAUGAAAACAGUGCAAAGCAUCAGUAGGGUACCUUUGAAAUACUGGUUGAGUAAAUUCUGUAAAUCCAGUACCCAAAGCCUGAAAUAAGAGAAUGGUUAUCGACAAUAUACAUUAUUGUGUCCAUAAGGAAAACAAGUUAUAUAAGUGACAUUCGAUGUUUAUUGUCACCUCACCUCAGAAAAAAAUCUCCAUCAGACCUUUAUUGACAUUUUGAUUUCCAACACAUCCACCUCUUGCAUAGUUAAAAGAGUAACAUGACCUGUACCAAACAAUUGAACAAUGAAGAAUCAAUAAAUAGAAGACAUCCUGAUCAAAUUAAGUUGAGUAAUAAUUCCAUAUGGAAAAACUAAGUUGAAUGUAGAAUGAGGGAAUAGGCUAAAUACAGAAUAGAAGCGUCACAUGAUUGCCCUCUGGAUGAUUUCUUCAUAUACUAUGUUAGAUGUAGAAUGAUCAUCAUCGUUAGUUGGUGUAGAUGGUCGAAUAAUAUUCUGACAGAAUUUGAACUCUUUGCUCUCGAUAAAACAACAUAAAGCUGACCAUGUGAGAAUACAGGUUCUCGCAAGUAAAUUCCAACAAAAUCUAAAGUUUGACCUUGAGCUUUAUUUAUAGUCAUAGCAAAGCAUAAUCUAAUGGGAAAUUGUGUUCUUUUAAAUUGAACAUGAACUUUUUCAUCUUGUGAUGAUAAUAAUGGUAUUCUUGGAAUAAACACAUGUGUAUUUUUGAAAUCGCCUGUGGUAAUCUUAGCACUAAUAACAUGAGUUUUAAAAUCAGAGCAGCUCAAUCGUGUGCCAUUACACAAACCUUCAGAUGGAUUUAAAUUUCGUAACAAUAUAAUUGGACAAUUUUCUUUCAAACGUAAUAUAUAAGGGGGCAAACCUGGGGGGUGUAAAGUGUGUAGCAGGUCUUCAAAUUGUGCUUGAUUGUUAAAGUCAAGAGCUUCAUCAGUCGCAAUAAAUGUUUUUGAUUUUCCUGUGAAUUGAUCGAUAAGCAUGUCAUUAAUUUCAUCAACAAAAUCAUUUUUAGUUGUCAAAAUCACGCGGGAAUCUGUAGGAGACAAAUCACAGUAAGAUGGAUUCAAAUUUAGAAUAUGUUGCUGCAAAUAGUUUAUCUAAAGAUUCUUUUUCUGUUGUAUAAGGAAUAAUCAAAGGGUCUGGAAUUUCAAUCUUGUUUGUUAGGUUGACCUGGUCUUGUCCAUUUCCAAUCUUCAAAAGAUAAUGACAAAAUGUGGGAUCUAUUCUUGCUCUCAUAUUUUCAGAUAAAUGCAAUUUUUCAAGUUCAUUCCAAAUGGUAGAAUAUAACAAACUUUGGGCAAUAAAGUCUUCCUUCUUUUCAUAUCGUACAACCGGAAGAGUUUGUCUGAAAUCGCCUCCUAAAACUACAACUUUUCCACCAAAUAAUACAUUUGUAUUCAUUAGAUAUUUUAACAGCGGAUCAAGAACUUCUAUCAUUCUUCUUUUAGCCAUAGAGACUUCAUCCCAAACAAUCAAUUUUGCUUCUCGAAUUAGACCUGCAAGCGAGCUUUCUUUACUUCUGUUACAAGUUGAAUUCUCAUCCAAAUCAAUGGGAAUCUUAAAACGUGAAUGUGCUGUAUGUCCACCUGGAAGAAUAGAAGCAGCAACACCAGAUGUGGCUGUUGCUAAAGCUAUGUAUCCCAUUGAUCGUAUAGUUGCUAAUAAGGCACGGUAUAAAAAAGUUUUCCCUGUACCUCCUGGACCAUCUAUAAAGAAUGCUCCUACUUUGUUUGAAAAUAUUCUCUCUGUAAUCACAUUAUAUGCAAUCAUUUGCUUCUUGUUCAACUUCUUAUGCAAGAGAACAUCGUCUUCACUAACAGUAAUAGAUCUCUCAAAAUGAACGUCAUUUGCCUCUCUCGCUGCUGCAGAAGAGUUGAUACUUUGUGGGAUGAGUUCAUAUUCAUUUAUAUCAUGCCCCAUAGAAUGCAAAAUGUCAUUAAUAUGAUUCAAAGCUUGAUAUCGAAUAUUUUUUCUUUCAAUAGUCUGUAACAUUUUAUAGUCUUCGACCAUUGAAUCUUCGAAUUGCUCCCAUAGCUUUCUUGGGUUGACUGGAGCACAAUAUACCAAUAAUGUAGCAAAUAAGCGUCUUAAGCUAUGUGGCAUCUGAUAACUGGCAGCCUCAGACAUACAGUCUGCGAAACUGUUAUCACAAUGUAAUUAUCCUCUUUUCUCGACAUAUUCUCUAAAAGUAGUACAACACUCUCCUUCCACUGUUAGAAGAUCCUUGUAUGAUGUUGGUGCUCGUAUAUGCAUUAAUAGUAAUCUAAGAUAAUAUCGUUCUCCUUCAGUAGGAUGACAUGUCACAAUUCGCCCAACAACAUAACGUUUUUGUCUACGUGUCCAAACUUUGUGACUGGAUGACCACACAAAAUACUGAGGGAAUUGUUUGUACAAUAAAUUUAGUUCAAUAGCAUAUUUGUCAGUUUUGUUCAUAUAGAAAAUUUUUGUUAACAUUGUUUUUCUGAUCAUAGGAUUAUUCAUAAUUGUAUUUAUAUUUGUAUUGCUCCUAAAAGAAACAAAUUGUUAGUCCUGAAGAUGUAAUUGAAGGCGAUAAAUGCUGGGAGACAUUUCACUUAUAGCAAAACCAAGAAGACGCCAUACAGCCUCGGGAGGAGAAAUCCAUCUAGCAGAUCGAUAUUCUUUUACUUCGUCUAUCUCUAUGGCUGCAUCGUUAUUUUGUACACAGAAUGCAAUCUUGUCAUGACCUUUACAAAUGUAUUUAUAGAGAUACUUCACAACUUUGAUGUCGGAGCAAACUUCAACAUUUAUGUGACAGUUGAAUUUUCCAAGUAAAUACGGAUUAUAUGGAACCACCCAAGAGUUAUCCAAGUAUUGAUGUCUUACUUUCACAACUUCUCCUGUAUUUCGUCUUUUGUAAAUUGGAUAAGAAUCGCUCCCUUUUGAUGUUUGAUCAGCAAACUUUUUUGGGUAUUUGAACUUGCAAUAACCCUUUUUUUUGUACAAGUAUUUGUUGGAUUUAAACCGCCACAAGGACCAUGCAUCAUAUGCUUAAUGACAAGCUUACGCAAAGCUGAUUCUGUACAUUCAUCUAGUAAUUCUGCUCUAAUUAUAUCAUCGUAUGCCUCUGCUGUCAAUAGCUUGUGCUCAUUACUCAAUAUAAUAAGAAAAUGAGCAUGGGGUAAUCCCCGUUUCUGGAACUCAACAGUAUACAUAUAAGCAACAACUUUUCCAAAGAUAUUUCGCUUUAGUAUAUCCGUUUUCAGUUCUUCUACUUUAGCUCUGAAUACUCGGCUAAUCAAAUCAGGUCUAUUUUGUACCUCAUCGCUUGAUGAUAAAUGUUCUUUUAUUUCUGGCCAAGAUGGGUUACAUGUUAUAGUUAUGAAUAGAUCAGGCUUUCCAAACUGUUGAACUAAUGCAAUAGCAUCCAUAUAACGUUGGCGCAUAUCUCUAGGUCCUCCAAUAAAGGAAUUUGGUAGAAAUGUUUGUUUUCCAACAUUAGAAGCAUCUCGUUCGCCAAGUCUCAAAACAUCAAAAAGUCCUCCUAGUAUACUCAUUCUGAACAAAUCUUGAUUAAAGAAAACAAAGUCCAAUCUUUGUGUUUCUAAUUUUAUAUAUAGAUCAACUGCAUAUUGCUGUAAUAAUCUGCCUGUAUGCAAAAUUUCAUCUUCAUCAUCAUUUCUCAUCUGAAAUUUAUAACAAUAAUAUUCUCGAACUGAAACUGUGUCUCUUUUACUUUUUCCUUUUUGUAAAAGCUGGGCUUCCAUAUCAAGGUAUCCAUCAAUAAAGGCAAAGUAUUUUAUACUCUACAAUUGUUCAAACUCAAGUAAAGUAAGAUUUGUACAAUUUUUUUGUCUGGUGUGAAACUUUUUGAUACCACAAUGCCACCCGCCUUGUCCGUGUGGAAAUAAUAGUGGGUAUUGCAAAGGAUCAUAACAACCAAAAUAGUAGUUGACUUUUUGUGUUUUGUCACAAUGUGUAUAAACUUGAACAUGUGGUGCAUGAGCAGUACAAUUAUCAUUUUCAUCAACCCAUAUUGCCGCAAUCUCUGUAGUAGUAGGCAGAUUAUAUACUCGUUGAUCCAAUCCAGCAUCACAUUUCAGUGCUAUGUGAAAAUUUUGCAAGUUCGGCGUGCUUGCUAAAGAUCGGAGGAACAUUGAAUAUGGAUUAUCUUUAGCACGUUCAUAAGUUCAAUCACUAUCGAUUCGUGCAAUUUAUCAGAGCAAGCCAUUCUAUUUUCAAUCUCAUUCAUGUUAUCAAAAAAGUACAACUGCAAGUUUCACACUUUUGUUUCUCUGGGAUAUAAAGAAUCUAUCAAGUGAUGCAUCUGUCCCUGAACCCUAAAUGUAUAAAUACCACAAUUUCGCUUAGCUAAAUCUCUGUCGUAAUUAACACCAAGUGAAGUAAAUGCAAAUAGAUUGUUAUAUGUUCUGAUGUAUGUUUGAAAAUGCUUUGAUUCUGCAUCAUUUCCCAUAUAUAAAUUUUUCAGAGUAGCUGGCAUGCGAUGGGAGGUUAAUUUGAUCGUACCUUUGCCACAGCAGAAUCCGGGGGAUUCAUAUUGAAAUCUUUUGGCAGCGCAAAACUUGCAAUCUGGAACUUUUUGUAAGUGAACAUAAUCAGAUCGUAGUUGGCUAAUAUUAGCAGCGGGUUUUUUACCCUUUGCAAGAGCUGCAUAUUGCAAACAACUGUAAGUAAUGAAAGUAGGAAAAUGGUGAAAAUCAAUAAGGGGGCACACUGACCACUGGUUCUAACAGCUUCAAAGAUUUCAAUAUGUGAAUCAUUUGUGGUACCGGAUGUUGAACCUGAUUCAUGACAAUUAUUGAUAAAUCAAUAUGUACAGUAGACACAAAGUUAAGGACAGUACAACUUCUAGGCUUACCUUUUUCAAACGCAUAGAAAGGAUAAGUCAUUUUUUUCCCUUGGUCAACCACAACGGAUGAAGAAAGAGUGCUACGCUCAGUAACUGCAUAAUAAGAGUGUAAUGUUAUUCUUUACCUGAGAUGUAUAUGGCAGUCAAAAGAAAUAAGUUAACUGAAGUUUCAUGUUAGUGCUAAUCGAUAGUUGAAACUUGAAGCGUCUAACACAUUUGAGGUGACUAAAAUGGAAGCUGAUUUAACACAAAUAUCUACUAAAUGAACAGACAGAGCAAAUGUAGGAAUAAAUGGUAAACAAAGAUUAACAAGCCUAUAUUUUUGUGAAAACUCCAAAGGAAUGGACCUUUUUUUUUUCCUUUGUAGCACAAUUGGUGCCCUAAAAAUAUCAGAUGUACUGAAUACUAUCAGGAAAAUGUUUAUAAGCAUGAAUAACAACAUACAUAUAAGAAUAUAAGAAGUGAUCAAUUAGAUGUCCCAACCUGACUUUAAAAUAGAGGAAGAGCAUCCUACAUCAACAUUAUCUUGACUAAGACAUAUCGGUUCAGCAGGAUUCGAAGAGUUUGUAUUUCCAAGAAUACGCUUAGUUGUUGCCUCUCUUUUAUUGAGGCGUCGUUGUAGCAGAAGUGUUUUUUUUCCAGAUGUGGGCAUAUUUUGAUAAAUUUCACGUUGUUUGGCAUUCUUAUUGUAAAACUCUGUUGUGUUGGCAGGAUGCUUUGUUGUUUGUUGAGGAUUCAUUGAUACUAUAAUCACUUUACUAAUCUAUAAUGCAGCACCAACAUUGUCAAGAAUCACAACAAUGGUAAAUUGAAUAUAUACAAACAUUCUAUUUUUGAGAGAAUUUAACAUAUAAAUAGGAUCGUAAAGAAUCAGAACGCCAAUAAAUUGAAUAGAUACAAUAAUUCAAAGAUUCUAUAUUGGAAAGAAUUUAACAAAUAAUUUAGAGCAUAAUAUUUUUUAAAGCAUGACUAUGAUUUAAGGUAGGAAUGUUAAUUUGGAGGCACACCAAGGGAAAACAUGAAUUCGUUAUUUCUAUUUUAUUGAAGUGAUAAUUGUAACGUUAGAGUGAGUGAAAAUGCCCAAUUUUUCAAUGUAGCAAACUGAUUAGUAACAAUGUUCUUAAUUCCCAUUCCAUUUUCCAUUCGGUCAUUUCAUUUUGCAUUUCCAUCGAACACCAAAAUGAAAAUACAGGGGAAAAAAUUUAUUACUGUUUUGGUAGAUGUUUGAGGACCCCGACCUAAUGGCCAAGUAGUUCAAAAUUAUGAGGUAAAGGUAAGCAGGGAAGCAAGCUAAAUCUUUCACUGAAAGAAGCACCUGACAAAUAUAUUUUUAAAAUUUAAACUCAAAGACAAUAUAAAGCGAAGAGAAAAGAAUAGAAAACUCUUACGUGGUAGUUAACUGUACAACCAACGAAUAUAUUGAGCAGCAAUUUCAGCAAACAGAGGGAGGAAGAUGAUGAUAAACGAAGAAGUGGGAAGGAAGAAAAAGAAAAGCAAAAGAUGUAGAGAAGGAGAAACAAAAAGCCUGUAGAAAUUUGCUGAAGAAAGAGCAAAUGAGUACAUGUUUCCUUAAGAAACAGCAGAUGAGUACACGUGUAGAAUGAAUGGGAUCCAAAUCAGAGAAAGCAAUAUUGUACGCUCUAUUCUCAUCUAUUAAAUAGAGUAAAAAUGACGGAAAUGCCCUCUUGACCCUAAGCUGCUCUAUUCUCAUCUAUUAUAUGAGUACACAUAUAGAAUGAAUGGGCUCUCUAUUCUCAUCUAUUAUAUAGAGUAAUAUAUAUAAUUUAUCUGUUUGGUUUGGUUAUUUUUGUGAUUUAUUUUUAACAAAUUCAUAACCAAACCAAAUAUUAUCGAUUUUUUAAAAUGUAAAACCAAACCAAACCAAACCAAAACCAAAUGAAAAUCGGUUUAUUUAAUCGGUUUGGUUCGGUUUUUCGGUUUGGAUCGCUUUUUACCCAAACCGUGAACACCCCUACACCCAACAUAAUUACAAUGAAAUCCACUCUAAAUUACUCAAGAACAACACCUAAACACAAGAUCCUCAUCGGAAGAACUCAAUGAAACCUCAUACUUAAAGAAUAGAUCACAAACAUCAAGAAAUUCAUCAAGAACUCAAAUUUAUCAAUCUUUGCGUGUGGGUGAACGAACGCAACACUAUGAAAACUUACAUACCUCUUAGGAUCGAAUCCUUGGCGAAAACCCUUCGAAAAUUGCAAGAAUCUUGAUCGUUCUCCCUUUUCUCCUAUUUUCCUCUUCUUGAACUCCUCUCAAACCCUAAGCGUAAUUUAAGAUUUGUAAAACUGACCCAAAUCAGAUUUGACCCCAAAAUAUUACUAAAAAACGUUUUAAGCUGAUGGGGUAAGGAAAAACCAAAAUACCCCUCAUUAAUUUGGGUAACUUUCCUUAACCGGACAUGCUAACUUCAAACGGGCAUAUCUCCAUUAUCCGAACUCAAAAUUUAGCAAACUCGGUGGCGUUGGAAACAAGAUUUCAAGACCUUUUAUUUGAUAUCUUAUGGGCCACCUAACUUAUCUUGUACUGAAAGUUAUGAUCGUUUGAAGUUGACCCAAAACUCACAACUUAAGCAUCACUUGCAAAAUUCUCAAUUUAGCUAUUUCCAAUUUAGCGCUUUCUAAAUUUAGCCCUUUUUAAGGCGGAAUGUUACAAUCAAAAUCAAAGUGCGUACCUCAUUUGAUAACAAACAUUAUUGAAAAAAAAUAAAUUUAAUUACAAACUUCAACAUUAUGCAUCGACAAAUUGUUAGCAUAUAAUUUUUUUUAUUAAAAUCUAAUUAUCAUCUUUCUCGAAUAAUUGAAUUUCUUACAGAAAUAGAGAUAAACAAUUAUUAUAACAUUAAAUUAAGUUGAGAUACCGAAUUUCCCAAUUUUUGAAUGCGUUUCAUUGGAGUGGAGUAUGAAUAAAUCGAAAAAAAGUCGAUGUUAUUGCACUUUGCUAAUUAGUGACGAAAAAAAUUCUAAUUACCCAUUAAGAGGACAUUUAUAAACAUAAUACAUUUAUACCCCACUCCAGCCCACCCUCCCAUCAAAUUGGCAUGGGUUAUUAGCCUAUGAAUAUUGUGUAUGAUAAAAGACUACAUAAUUGAGUAAGUUUUGAGUUAAAAAUCAAAGUUGAGUGAUUUUAUGAGAAAUUUUUUUCUUAGUGAGUGAUCUACUUAAACUAAUUUUGUUAGCAAAUAUAUUUAUGAGUUUAUUCUUUAAAUAACUAUUGUUGUCUUGCAUUUUAUAUUGACAUUGACCAGAAAAAUAAUAAGGGAUAAAUAUAGGGUAAAUUACAUAAAUCCUAUAGUUUUAAUAUGAAAUUACAAUCUAUCCCUAAUAAGUUUCUAAUUACAUUAAUCCCUUAAAAAUUAAAAAAACGGAUACAAUAAUUGAAGCUCAGAUACAUUAAAUACUAUCUCAGAUACAUUAAUAUGUAGCUCAAAUACAUUAAAAACUAGUUCGGAUACAUAAUAUGUAGCUAGAAUACAUUAAAUACUGGCUCGGAUACAUUAAUAUGUAGCUCGGAUACAUUAAAAAUUAGCUCGGAUACAUAAUAUAUAGCUCAGAUAUAUUAAAUACUGACUCAGAUACAUUAAUAUGCAGCUCGGAUAUUUUAAACAAAUAAGGAAUUUUGGAGAUUUUUAAAAAUAAUAGGGGAUAAUGGAAAUAAGUGAAACAAAAGUGUGUAUUUACCAUUCAACUUUGAUAAAGAGCGGACAUUUUCUUUAUUAAAAAAUGUGGUGCAUAUAUACCUUUUUAUAAAAAAUUAAAAAGAAGUGUAAGGUUUUGAAAAUAUCUAAUGAUGAUCAUAUUCGUAUCAACGAAGUAAGGAAUCUUGUCAUACAAAAAUCUUCAAACAUAUAAUACAAAUAUUGAUAAUUUUUAAAAUAUUUUAAAAUAAAUACUAUAAUACAAAAUGGUGAAAAGGAGGAGUUUAAGUUUGGUAAUUCAAGGAAAAAUCUCUCUCAAACAAAAUUUGUUCUCCAACUGCUAAGGGAUUCAUCUUUUGGGCCCUGGUUCAUUUUCAAUAAUUUCCUAUUAGUUAAAAAAUGGGAGCCAAAAUUUGUUGCCUCUCAAGCACACCUCAGGCACACAGCUAGCUGGCUUCGUGUACUAGAAUUAUCGACUGAAUUUUACGACUUGCACAUCUUGCAAAAGGUAGGCUCCAAACUUGGAACCCUCCUAAAAAUUGACUCAUGUACGUUGGGAAAAAUACUACAAUAUUUAUAUUGAACUGAAAUUACAAAGAAGUAAAUAAUUUAUUACAAAUAUUGUGGCAUGGCAAGUCAAUGCCUUGAAAGCGAUUUCGGUCCGACUCCGAUGUAAAUCGUUGUAGCCGAUCGCUCCACAAGGGUCCACAGUUACUCUCCAACACGUGCACUCGUGGCUGAAAGUUUUGAGGUUGCCCAAAACUAUCUGCCCAAGAAAUAGUCUAAGAAUAAGAAGAAAGAAGGAAAAUGUUUUUUUCUUUUGUUGUUUGUGUAGUAAUGUUCACAAAAGGCCAUGCUUAUAUAGAAUUUGCAAAAGAGAAGUUUCAAAGUGAAGGUUUAAUUUGUAUAACACAUUGUGAAUGUGAAUGUCACGAUCCAAAAUGAGUCAUGAGUGGCACCUACACUUAACCUCUUAGGUGGACGAACCAACGAAUUCAACCCCAACUUAUUUUUAUUAUUCAACUUACAUAAUACAAACGAUAAUGCGGAAGCUCAAAUUUUAUUAAUGUAAGAUACACAAAUCUACUAAUCUCCAAAUAUUAAGUCUAAGAGUAUCAAAGACACCAAAAUGAAUGAAUAAAGUAGUUUGUGUCAAAAAACUAAGGACAUCAUGCCAUGACCGAGAGAAUCCAACACAAGCUCGAAUGAAUAGCUCACCCUGGAACCUGAAGUGCUGGAGACUGGCUAGAAUUGAGGCGAGUCAUAGUCGUUGGUACACUCGUUGCACUCCACAAAAGGAAAACGAAGAAAAACACAAGUAGGGGUAAGUACGGGGCAACAUGUAUUGACUAGAUAUCAUCGGCGGAUCCAAAAUAGAAACUAAUAUACAUAAAGUAAUAAUAUGAAAUCAACUAUAAUACUUAGCAGGUGGCAAGCAACAAAUAACAUGAACAAGUGACAACAACACUGAAACAAGUACAUAAUUAGUCCACAAUAUCAAGAACAUACAUGAGGACUCAGGCCUCUACACCACGCUCUUUUGAGAAAUGAUUUCUUUGAGAUUGGGUACAUUAAGGGUCUGUUUGGAAAGCCAUCUGGUAAUUGGAAUUGGUGUAAUUACUAGGGCAGUAAUUACCAGCCUAGUAAUUACUCAGUCUAGUAAUUACACUGACCUGUUUGAUUCCCACAGUGUAAUUACAUUGUAAUUACACAUGUCCAAUUUGGAUGCUACAGUGUAAUUACACAUAUUCUAGAUGCACAAUUGCAAUCAUAAAAUUAUAUUUAAAAUAAAAAUUAAUUAUUUAAAAUUUAUACUAGACAAAUAAGAAACUUUAUAAAUGAUAUUAAAUUAAAUAUUUAAAGAUAUAUAUUAUUUUUUAAAAAUAUAUUAAUUAAUAAACAUAUGUUCUUAACUAAUAUUAUGACAAAAAAUAAUUGAUUUAUAUUUUUUUCAAAUUAAUUUAUUUCAAUUGAAUUGAUCAUAAAAAAUUAAAAGUAUGAAGUUUCUACGAACAUCGUGAAAUGCAUAUUUGAUAAAAAGAUUACUAUAUAAAUAAAAUGCCAUAAAUUAUUAAAAUGUUUGACAGAAAGAUAAUCUAUCAAGACAAAUUAAAAAAUUCCUUGCAAUGUGAAUUCAAUAUUACUAAAACAAAUUAAACGGAAAAUAUAACAUAAGUUAUAAAUUUGAAACAAAAAAUUUAACAUAAUGCUCUUAUCAGAUAUUUCAACAUAUCAUACAUAAAUAUGAUUUUUUUUUAAAAAAAAAACGUAAGUCUAUAACCUUACUUAACAAUAAAUUACAUUUUAUUUAAAAAUUAGAAUACUAAUAAAAUUAUGCUAAUGAGAAAAUAAGCAUGGCAUAAAGAAAUAGAUAAUACUAAAAAAUUGCAUAGAAUCACGUGAAGUGAGGUUGAGCAUGAGAAGAAAAUGAAAUAUAAUAAUAAAAAAUAAAAAAUAAACUUUUGGAAUAAUAAAAAUAAAAAGAAGAAAUUAAAAAGUAAUCAACUGGUAAUUACACCAUGUAAUUAUCAACAAUUCACAGCCUCUCCCUAUGAAUUGGAGAGUGUAAUUACCCCCUGCCAAUUACACCAAUUACCUGAUGACCAAAUAAUUACUUGUCCAACCAAACAUGACAGACAAUGUAAUUGCACCCAAUUACACCAAAUCCAAUUACCAGGGUGGCUUUUCAAACAGACACUAAGUUGUUCUUAUAUGCUUUUCUUUAAUGCUAUCGUGUCGGAACGUGACACCCGAUCCAAAAAUAUCAUGCCGGCUUGUGGCAUCCGAUCCAAAUAUAUCGUGUUAGAACGUGACUCUCGAUCCAAAUAUAUCGUGCCGGAACAUGAAAACCGAUCCAGUAAUACUAUGCUGGCUCGUGGCACCCGGUCCAAAUAUAUCGUGCCGGUUCGUGGCACCCUAUGCAAAUAUAUCGUGUCAGCUCGUGGCACCCAAUCCAACAACAUAGUUAAUUUCUUAUUCUUUAUCAUCACUUUACACUUCAUUAACAAUAUUUCAUCAAGCCUUCUUUAUUCAAGGCAUCACUUUAAUAGAACAAAUUCAAGAUUAUGGAUUUUGCGGUCUUGAAAUUUCAGACCAAUCACAAACAACAUAUCAAUUAUCCAAACCACAACAAUCAAGUACAUAGAAAAUUUCACAAUAUAACUCAAUGAAUAUCAAUCACUAUUAAGAGUCUCUCUAUCACAUAGAAUAAACCAUAACCUACCUUAACCGAAGAACCAAAGUCAAGCAAGUUAAUUUCCCAAUGUUUUUCCUUUCCUCAAUGCCUCCAAACGUUUUCAAUCUACCAAGUAUACAAUAUUCAUAAGCAAACGAAUCCGUAGAAACUCAUAUUACUAUAUAUAUAGCCUAGACUCUAUAACCCAUCCAAAUCUAUAGUCAAAUUCCUAAAGUAAAAGCCUAAGGUUAGUCUCAAUUCCUCCCAUUAUCAUAACUUUAAUGAUAUUCAAGUAAUACAAUACACCUAAUAUUUAAUUACCUAUAUCAAUAUAUCAAAACUUAAUUUAUAUUAUGAUAACAAAAUAAUAAUAUAUAAAAAUGGAAUCCAGUGGUUACGAAACCAGUGGCAGACUAGAAGCAACCCAACACCCAAUCCAAUUAUAACAUCUAGAACUCAAAUUUGAUUAACAAUCACACUAAAACCUUAGUUGCUCAUCAUUAAUAGUUGGUCUCCACCUUCCAAUCAUUAUGCACCUUUUACCAAUUCACAUUCUUUAGCCAUAAUGAUUUACAAUAUAAAUACCCACCAAUCAAUGAGGGUUUAGUUGCUCAUCAUUAAUAGUUGGUCUCCACCUUCCAAUCAUUAUGCACCUUUUACCAAUUCACAUUCUUUAGCCAUAAUGAUUUACAAUAUAAAUACCCACCAAUCAAUGAGGGUUUAGUUGCUCAUCAUUAAUAGUUGGUCUCCACCUUCCAAUCAUUAUGCACCUUUUACCAAUUCACAUUCUUUAGCCAUAAUGAUUUACAAUAUAAAUACCCACCAAUCAAUGAUAUUAUCAUUAGUAUCCCUCAAUUUUGUUACUAUCAUUACCCAGACAAAUCCUUAACAAUAAACCCGUGACACCCAUAAACUACUUUUUCAAUUUCAAAACCUCUUUCAACUAAAAUAUUAAUUUUAUAUUUUUUAUCCAUUCACUAAGCAGUAAAAAUAUCUCCACUGAGCCACAAUUAUAUGUAAAUCGGAUGCAAAGUAUAAAUAAGAUGGAGAGCAUUAAUUAGGUUACCUCACUUCUCGUUGUCGACGUUGAAACAUGUUUAGUGUUUGACUAAAGAAUAAAUUAAACCCAAUUUAACUUUAAUUCAUUCUUGUAUAUGGAUCAGGAGACAUAGAAUACUAAAUAAAUUAUGGAAUUGGUCCAUUAACUACUAAUUAAAUAAAAAAUAAUUAUUUAAUAAUUAUCUGCCAACUAAAUUCACCGUAGUUAAAUAAAUAGUUUAAAAUCACCAUUUAAAGUUUACGGGAAGAGUCGAAAUAGUUCUAGUACUCAGAAUGACCUAACAGGUCAUUACGUUAAUGUCAUUAAAAGCCAUUACAUCACAUUCUACAGAAACUCUUCUUUUGUUUUGGAAUGGAAAAAAUAUUCUCUUUGUAACAUAAUUUACUUUGUGUUUUGCAUUACACAAAAAAUGAAUAAAGUUAGAAUUAAUAUCACAAUCCCCCACUAAUGCAAAGAUUAAGAGUAAGAAAUUUUUUUGGACAAAAGGAAGGAAUGUGUACUUAAGUAUUCAAUAUCUUUCGAUUUGAACAAACACAUAGUGAUAUGAUGCAACAACUUAAUAUCCACAAAGUGAAGUACUCUUGAAGUGAGUAGAUAUAAUAUGAGACUGUCACGCCCCGAGCCUACACCUGGGCGGGACUGGCAGUCGAGAACCAUUGUUGGCCCCAAGCAAACCCUUGGCCUGGGUUACUACUCAGCGGAAGACUUUACUCAACAAAGAUAAAUCCAUGUAAUAAACUAGAAUGUUGUAAAGGAAACACUCAACUGGCCAAUAAGACAAACUCAAGUCUCAACAUAACAGAAUGAAAAUGUAAAGACAAACGAACUAACUAACUGUCUAUGAAGCCUCUAAAUUGUGAGGGAUGUCAGGAAAAGACCCCCGAUCAUCCUAACAACUAAAAGUAAUAAAGCAAUGUAAAUAGGGAUCCUGCGGAAAGCAAGGAGGCUCACCAACUGACUCUGAGUGCUCAACUGGAUCAACGAGGUGCUGGACGCUGAUCCUGGUUACCUGUAUCUGCAUCAUAAAAUGGUGCAGGCCAAAUGGCAUCAAUACAUUGAAUGUACGAGCAUGCGAGGGGAAAACUAAACACGACAUAAGCUUGAAGUGAUUUUUGAAAGAACACUUACCUCAACUUUACUCAUCUCAUGAAUACUCUACUCAAAUGCAGAAUUAAACCAUAGUAAAUGUGCAGUUUAUAUAAAACAUUUAAACAGUAAAUUACAACUCAAUUUAAUCAAAUAAUAAAGUAAUAUAAUUCUGUGGGAGUUUCUCUAAUUGACAACCAUCACUAUGAGCUAUGUGAUGAUACGACGUCUCGCCCACGCUGCCAGAACUGUCUUAUAACUUGCUGGGAUAUAGAACGCCUCAACUAAGUGGAUCCAUUAGUCUAUGCUAAAAAGCAUUAAGGAAUCAUCUAAAAAGUAUGACCCUUUCUAGCCACGUUGGCUACAUGGUUUAUGGAGACAUUGAGUUGUUAUGAACUCGUCCCCACAUCGGUGCUCAAUACUAAUCCUAAAAUACUCAGCUCAUAUGUGUAAAAACAAAAACUCUUUCAGUGGUUUGAGAUAAUUACUCAAAAACUAGCUUAAAGGCUCUCUUGGAAAUCAGUGUUUCCUCUCUUGUUUAAAUGUGAAAACAUUUACUCUUUGGGAAUACUUAGUUCCCAUAUACUCUUUUUGAAGAAAUGAAUUUCAUUUGUUACUCUUACUUAACUCAAAACUCAAGUCUUAAAACAAGUUUAAAGCAUUUGCAAAAUCCUUUUUGAAAGGACUCUAAGAACUCUCUAAACUUGGCCCUUAACUUUCCUUGAGUUUGAAUUAAUGGAUUCAAGGAUUGUGAUUUGUGAUAGGAAAGAUCUCGUGAUGUUUAUGAGUGUUUUUAUAUAGUUAAACAAUCAAGAAAUCACUGUCUGGAAGCAAGUACCUGAUGCGGAAAUGCAUUUUAAUUUUUGGUCGCGAAAUAAAUUUUGAGGCAGAAGGGUCCGUGACCGCUCCGCAAUGCAGAGAGAAAAUUUCCCAUCCUGAGGAACAUGUUCGCGACGCAGACUUGGUACCCAGAUUCACCCGACUUUUUCCUUCUUCAUUUUCUAACCCAAUUCGCCUAAAUUCAAUUCUUUUUCUCAAAUUCUCUUUAGAUUCAGAUACCCAGUAUAUGUACACAAGAAUCUAUUCAUAACGACUCUAAAAUUUAUACGAUUUCCUCAAGAACUCAACAAUCCCAACUUAACUCAAGAACGAAAGUCAAUAUUCAAGAACACAUUCAAAAUCAUCAAUUUUCAACUUUCUAGAACGAAUUUCACUGAACUAAACAUGAUUGGCGCGUGGGUGAACGAACCCAACGCUAUGAAAGUCUUACAUACCUCUUUGGGGAUCAACCCUUGGCGAAACGACUUCGAUUCCGCAAGAAAUCUCCAAGAAUUCUUUGACUUUACUCCUCUUCUUUUCUCUUCUAUCAAAACUCUAACUUAAUUGUUAAUUGUGAAAACUGAACUAACUCAGUUUAGACCCCAAAUAAUUUACUAAAACGGAUUUAAUUAAUUGGGUAAUGAAAAUACCAAAAUAUCCCUCUAAAAUUCGGUUUCAACUUUCCUUAGCUAAACAACCCAACUUUGAAUGGGCAUAUCUCCCUCAUACGAACUUGAAAUUGAGAAACUCGGCGGAGUUGGAAAUAUAAUCCAAAGAUAUUUCCUACGAUAUCUUUUUUGCUACCUAACUCAUCCUUUACUGAGAGUUAUGUUCGUUUGAAGUUGACUCAAAACUCAAUCUUAGCUUAACUUUGUCAAAAUUUCCAAAUUUGAUUAUUUCCAAAAUCGGUUUCUUUAAAAUUCUAGUUCUUUCUAGUUCUUUCAAAUAGCGAGGUGUUACAAUAUCUCCUCCUUGGGAAAAUUCUUCCUCGAAUGAGAUUACUCUUCGUAGGCUAAGGGUGUAACAUCUAACAUUCAUCUCAAACACCCAACAAGCAAAUCUAACACAUUAAUUAUAUAAAUGAAAGAGUACUAAGAAGAGAAUUAGUACCUUGAUCUGGAAUUUCUCUAGGCUCAAAGAGAUGUGGAUAUCUCUUCUUCAUAUCCUCCUCAUUUUCCCAAGUAGCUUCCUCAACAAAUUGAUUCCUCCACAAAACUUUGACUGAUGCUACUUCCUUGGUCCUCAACUUGCAAACUUGGCGAUCUAAAAUCUGAACAUGAAUCUCCUCAUAAGAUAAGCUAUCCUUAAUACCGAUAUCUUUAGUUGGUAUGAUCAAUGAAGGAUCACCCAUGCACUUUUUCAACAUAGAAAUGUGAAACACUGGAUGAACUGCUGCUAACUCUUGUGGUAGCUCUAACUCAUAAGCUACAGUCCCAAUCCUUUUGGAUAUUCUGUAAGGACCAAUAUACCGGGGACUAAGCUUCCCCUUCUUACCAAACCUCAUAACACCCUUCAUGGGUGAAACUUUCAAGUAUACCCAAUCAUCUACUUCAAACUCUAAGUCCCUUCUCCUAACAUCAGUGUAAGAUUUCUGACAACUCUACGCUGUUUUCAACCUUUCUGGGAUAAUCUUAACUUUCUCCAUAGCUUGAUGAACUAAGUCUGGUCCUAUCAACCUAGCUUCACUAACCUCAAGCCAUCUAAUAGGAGAUCUGCAUCUUCUCCCAUAAAGAGCUUCAUAAGGAGCCAUCUGGAUUCUAGAAUGGUAACUAUUAUUGUAAGCAAACUCAAUGAGAUAUAGGUGAUCAUCCCAAUUACCCUUGAAAUCAAUCACACAGGCCCUCAACAUAUCUUCCAAAGUAUGAAUAGUGCGCUCUACUUAACCAUCUGUCUGAGGAUGAAAAACAGUACUCAAGUUCACCUUCAAGCCCAAACCUUUCUGGAAAGACUUCCAAAAUUGUGUAGUAAAUUGUGCACCUCUAUCUGAAAUAAUAGAAACUGGAACUUCAUGAGGUCUUACUACCUCUUGAUGAUAUAACUUGGCAUAAUCCUCUGCUGAAUGAGUAGUAUUUACCGGUAAAAAGUGGGCUGAUUUUGUCAUUCGAUCUAUAAUCACCCAAAUAGAAUCAUGCUGUAUGCGGGACCGCGGCAAGCUAGUAAUAAAAUCCAUAUUGAUCAUCUCCAACUUCUAUUCCGGAAUUUCUAUAUUCUGAGCCAUACCAUCGGGCCUUUGAUGCUCUACUUUAACUUGUUGAUAAUUCAGGCAUUUAUCAACGAACUCAACAAUACCUUUCUUCAUAGUAUUCCACCAAUAUACUUCUCUCAAGUCACGCUACAUCUUUGUGGAAUCCGAAUGAAUGGAAUAUCUGUAGCUAUGAGCUUCCUCCAUGAUCCUCUCUUGGAGUUCAUCCACUCAUACAUACAACCUACCUUGAUACCUCAAUACGCCAUCUCCCCCUUGUUCAAAUGCCAUUACUUUUUGCUUAUGAACAUUUUACCUUCAAUUCAAGCAAAAUAGGAUCUUGGUCUUUUAUCUACUUAACUUCAGACACUAAUGAUGACUCAGCCCCAUUCAUCACCACCACUCCUCCUUCUGUGGAAUCCAUUAGUUGAACUCCUAAUCGUGCAAGUCUAUGCACAUCUUUUACUAGUUCUUUCUUCUCUUCCUCAACAUGGCAGUACUACCCAUAGACAACCUACUCAAAGCAUCAACCACAACAUUAGCCUUACCUGGGUGAUAUAGAAUACUCAUGUCAUAAUCUUUGAGUAACUCUAACCACCUCCUAUGUCUGAGAUUAGGCUCUUUCUGACUGAAUACAUACUGAAGACUCUUGUGAUUGGUGAACACAUGCACAUGAACACCAUAAAGAUAAUGACGCCAUAUUUUCAAAGCAAAUACUAUGGCAGCCAACUCUAGAUCAUGGGUUGGGUAAUUCUUCUCGUGAACUUUCAACUGUCUGGAGGCAUAAGCUAUAACUUUACCAUUCUGCAUUAGCACACAACCCAAACCAACUCUGGACGCAUCAAAAUACAUAACAAAACCUUGAGUACCUUCUGGUAAGGUCAAUACUUGGGCAGUGGUCAACCAUUUUUUCAAUUCCUGAAAGAUUUUCUCACAAGCUUCAGACCAUUGAAACUUUACUGUUUUCUGAGUCAACUUGGUCAAAGGGAAUGAAAUAGAUGAGAACCCCUCUACGAACCUUCUAUAGUAGCCAGCCAACCCUAAGAAACUCCUAAUAUCUGUUGGAGAUGUGGGUCUAGGCCAAUUCUGCACUGUCUCUAUUUUCUGAGUGUCAACUCUAAUCCUAUCACCGAAAACAAUGUGGCAUAAGAAUGCCACCGACUCAAGCCAAAACUCACACUUAGAAAACUUAGCAUAUAACUCCCUAUCUCUGAGAGUUUGAAGAGCUACUCAGAGAUUACUAGCACAAUCUUCCUCAUUCCUCGAAUAGAUUAGUAUGUCAUCAAUGAAUACGAUAACAAAAAUAUCUAAAUAAGGCUUGAAUACUCUGUUCAUAAGGUCCACGAAUGUUGCAAGAGCAUUAGUCAAACCAAAGGACAUAAGUAGGAACUCAUAAUGACUAUAACGGGUCCUGAAAGUUGUCUUUGGAAUAUCACAUUCCCUUACUCUUAACUGAUGGUAGCUAGAUCUGAGGUCUACCUUAGAAAAACAAGUGGCACCCUGAAGCUUAUUGAAGAGAUCAUUAAUUUUCAGAAGAUGAUACUUAUUCUUGAUAGUAACCUUGUUCAACUGACAGUAAUCUAUACACGUUCUAAGGGACCAUCUUUCUUUCUCACAAAUAAGACUAGAGUAUCCCAAGGUGAGACACUUGGUCGAAUAAAAACCUUCUCAAGGAGAUCUUUCAACAGCUCUUUUUAACUCUUUCAACUCUGCUGGUGCCAUUCUAUAUGGCAGAAUAGAUAUUGGACGAGUAUCGGGAAUAAUAUCUAUACCGAAGUCUAUUUCUCUCUCAGGAGGGACUCUGGGUAGAUCAUCUAGAAAGACCUCUGGAAACUCACUCACAACUGGAACUGACUCAAUAGGAGGUGACUUAACACUAGAAUCGUUAACUUGGUUAGACAUACCCCUUAGAAACAAAAUUUCUCGCCUUAAGGUACGAAAUAAAAUGAACUUUAGGCACUACUGAACUACUCCUCCACUCAAAGAUUGGCUCAUUAGGAAACUGGAACUUAACAACUCGAGUUCUACAAUUAACUGAGGCAUAACAGACAUGAAGCCAAUCCAUACAUAGAAUAACAUCAAAAUCUACCAUGUCUAACUCAACUAAAUCAGCCAUGGUGCUUUUGUGAUUGACGGAAAUGGUACAAUCACGAUAGACUCUCUUUGCUAGAAUAGACUCACCAACAGGUGUAGAAACACUAAAGGGCACACAAAGUUUCUGAGGAAGAACAUCAAAAUUCAUCGCAACAUAAGGAGUCACAAAAGAUAGACUCGCUCCUGGAUCUAGCAAAGCAUAAACAUCGAAAGUAAAGACUUUGAUCAUACCAGAAACACCAUCUGGAGAAUUCUCUUGAUAUUUGCGACUACUGAUCGCAUAUUGGUGGUUUGCUCCUCCGCUAGUGCAUGAAGUAGCUCCUCUAGGUGCAUCCCUGUCUGGUGGAGCAACUGAAGAAGAUUAGGCUCUAUUGCCCCUGUUCUCGUGCCUGUUCUUAGGACACUCUUUCAUGAAAUGGCCCUUUUGAAUGCACUUUAAACAUCCAGUAGAGCCAUCACGACAAGCACCUGGGUUGUUCCUACCACACUUAGCACAUGUAGGAGCCCAAUUACCUCCUUGUGCCACACUACCCUAAGUUGAGCAGGUCUAGCUCUAAAAUUCUGCGAAUUCUUACUAUUAUACUCACCUUUGUUCCUUGGUGCAGGUGCACUAGAAGAUGAUGGAGCAGGUCCCUUUUGCUUAUGUUGAAAGGAAGACCGGUUCACAUUACUUCUUGCAGCCCGGACUCAUUUCCUGUCUUAGAUUUCUUGUUUCUAAAUUCUUCUCUAUCCCUCAGCUUCUCUUUCUCAACAUGCUGCACAUAAACCAUAAGUCUCGCUAUGUCUGUGUCCCCUAUUAGCAUAGCUGCCUUGCCCUCCUUACUUGACAUACGAGACAACCCAGCACAAACAGACUCAUCCUUCUCCUCAUAUCAGCAACAAUCUCCGAAGCAUAUCGGGAAAGUUGGAUGAACUUCAGACUGUACUGAUGGACACUUAUAGGUUCCUGCUUAAGGGUAAGUAAUUCCCAUACCUUGGCUUCUCUCAACUAACGGGGAAAGAAUUGCCCCAAGACAGCACUCUCGAACACGGCCCAACUCAAAACCGGUGCAUCCUCAGCCCUACUCUUCUUCCACUGGUCAAACCAAGUCCUACAACCACUCUUCAGUUGAUAGGCAGCUAGUUCCACUCGCUCAGUAUCGGCAACGUGCAUAACCUCAAGUACUUUUUGCAGUUCCUCUACAAAGUUUUUUCGGAUCCUCUAUGGUGGUUGAACCAUGAAGCUUGAAAGAUUCAUCCUCAAAAACUCACGGAUCCUUGAAGUGUCAGCCACUUCCUGUCGAUCCCCUCUCUGUUGGCCAACUUGAUUGGUCACCGCUUGACUUAGAAUUCGGAUAGCUUCCUGGAACUAAGCAUUGGUGACCUCUCCUUGGGGUUGUGCUUCUGGUGCAUUAGGUUCCUAUUGAUCCUCAACAUUCCUCCUAGCAGGACGACCUCAUACAACUCUUUGUGGAGGCAUGAUCUGAAAGACACGCGCAAGCACGAGUUAGAAAGAAACUUUUAUAGAGAUAAACUCGAUCGCACGAAAUGAAUAUGUAAGAAGUGAGAUAGUUCAUAAAUGUUACAGCCUCCUAAUUAUAGAUGUGGCGCGCUUCACACCGAUAACUAGGACACUACAAACACGUCUUCAUAGACUCCCUAUGAUUCUUGAACUCUGUGCUCUGAUACAAAGUUUGUCACACCCCGAGCCUACACCCUGGGUAGGACUGGCACUCGAGAACCAUUGCUGGCCCCAAGUGAACCCUUGGCCUGGCUUACUACUCAACGGAAGACUUUACUCAACAAUGAUAAAUCCAUGUAGUAAACAAGAAUGUUGUAAAGGAAACACUCAACUCGCCAAUAAGGCAAACUCAAGUCUCAACAUAACAUAAUGAAAAUGUAAAGACAAACGAACUAACAAACUGUCUAUGAAGCCUUUAAACUGUGAGGGAUGUCGGGACAAGACCCCCGAUCAUCCUAACAAAUGAAAAUACUAAAUCAAUGUAAAUAAGGAUCCUCCGGAAAGCAGGGAGACUCACCAACUGACUCUGAGUGCUCAACUGGAUCAAUGAGGCGCUGCAUGCUGAUCCUGGUUACCUGUAUCUGCAUCAUUAAAUGAUGUAGGCCAAAUGGAAUCAAUACAUUGAAUGUACAAUCAUGCGAGGGGAAAACUAAACACGACAUAAGCUUGAAAUGAUUUGUGAAAGAACAUUUACCUCAACUUUACUCAUAUCAUGAAUACUCAACUCAAAUGCAGAAUUGAACCAUAGUAAAUGUGCAAUUUAUAUAAAGAAUUUAAACAGUAAAUAACAACUCAAUUUAAUCAUAUAAUAAAGUAAUAUAAUUAUGUGGGAGUUUCUCUAACCAACAACCAUCACUAUGAGCUAUGUGAUGAUACAACGUCUCAUCCGCUGCCAGAACUAUCCUAUAACUUGUUGGGAUAUAGAACGCCUCAACUAAGUGGAUCUACUAGUCUAUGCUAAAAAGCAAUAAGGAAUCAUCUAAAACGUAUUACCCUUUCUACCCACGUUGGCUACAUGGUUUAUGGAGACAUUGAGUUGUUAUGAACUUGUCCCUACAUCGGUGCUUAAUACUACUCCCAAAAUACUCAGCUCAUAUGUUUAAAAACAAAAACUCUUUCAGUGGUUUGAGAUAAUUACUCAAAAACUAGCUCAAAGUUUCUCUUGGAAAUCGGUGUUUCCUCUCUUGUUUAAAUGUGAAAACAUUUACUCUUUGGGAAUACUUAUUUCCCAUAUAUUCUUUUUGAAGAAAUGAACUGCAGUUAUUACUCUUACUUAACUCAAAACUCAAGUCUUAAAACAAGUUUAAAGCAUUUGCAAAAUACUUUUUGAAAGGACUCUAUGAACUCUCUAGACUUGGCUCUUACCUUUACUUGAAUCUGAAUUUAUGGAUUCAAGGAUUGUGAUAGGAAAGAUCUCGUGAUGUUUAAGAGUGUUUUUAUAUAGUUAAACAAUCAAGAAAUUACUGUCUGGAAGCAAGUCCCUAACACGGAGAUGCAUUUAAAUGUUUGGUCGUGAAACAAAUUUUGAGGCAAAAGGGUCUGUGACCGCUUCGCGACGCGGAGAGAAAAUUUCCUAUCUUGAGGAACAAGUCCGCGACACCGACCUGGUACCCAAAUUUGCCUGACUUUUUCCUUCUUCGUUUUCUAACCCAAUUCGCCUACAUUCAUUUAUUUUUCUCAAAUUCUCUUUAGAUUCAGAUACCCAGUCUAUGUACACAAGAAUCUAUUCAUAACGACUCUAAAAUUGACACGAUUUCCUCAAGAACUCAAUAAUCCCAACUUAACUCAAGAACGAAAUCCAAUAUUCAAGAACACAAUUCAAAAUCAUCAACUUUCAACUUUCUAGAACAAAUUUCGAUGAACUAAACAUGAUUGGAGCGUGGUGGAAAAAUUUGAUACGCUCAAAUUACACUUCCUUACAGAAGUAUAAGCGAUCGUUAUCAAGUAAAGAACCCAACUUGUAGGUUGGGAUCGAUCCCACGAGGAAAAUGGUUUAGACUUUACUUUAACUAACAAUUAUAUUCAAUUAGUCAANNNNNNNNNNNNNNNNNNNNNNNNNNNNNNNNNNNNNNNNNNNNNNNNNNNNNNNNNNNNNNNNNNNNNNNNNNNNNNNNNNNNNNNNNNNNNNNNNNNNNNNNNNNNNNNNNNNNNNNNNNNNNNNNNNNNNNNNNNNNNNNNNNNNNNNNNNNNNNNNNNNNNNNNNNNNNNNNNNNNNNNNNNNNNNNNNNNNNNNNNNNNNNNNNNNNNNNNNNNNNNNNNNNNNNNNNNNNNNNNNNNNNNNNNNNNNNNNNNNNNNNNNNNNNNNNNNNNNNNNNNNNNNNNNNNNNNNNNNNNNNNNNNNNNNNNNNNNNNNNNNNNNNNNNNNNNNNNNNNNNNNNNNNNNNNNNNNNNNNNNNNNNNNNNNNNNNNNNNNNNNNNNNNNNNNNNNNNNNNNNNNNNNNNNNNNNNNNNNNNNNNNNNNNNNNNNNNNNNNNNNNNNNNNNNNNNNNNNNNNNNNNNNNNNNNNNNNNNNNNNNNNNNNNNNNNNNNNNNNNNNNNNNNNNNNNNNNNNNNNNNNNNNNNNNNNNNNNNNNNNNNNNNNNNNNNNNNNNNNNNNNNNNNNNNNNNNNNNNNNNNNNNNNNNNNNNNNNNNNNNNNNNNNNNNNNNNNNNNNNNNNNNNNNNNNNNNNNNNNNNNNNNNNNNNNNNNNNNNNNNNNNNNNNNNNNNNNNNNNNNNNNNNNNNNNNNNNNNNNNNNNNNNNNNNNNNNNNNNNNNNNNNNNNNNNNNNNNNNNNNNNNNNNNNNNNNNNNNNNNNNNNNNNNNNNNNNNNNNNNNNNNNNNNNNNNNNNNNNNNNNNNNNNNNNNNNNNNNNNNNNNNNNNNNNNNNNNNNNNNNNNNNNNNNAAAAAUCAGCUUCUCUGAAGCAAAUGACGGACCAGCAGCACGGAUCGUAGAUCGACUUACGGUCCGUCAAUCCCCUCCGUAGCUCCAUACUUAGAAUCUUCCAAAAUCAGGUACUGGAACCCUCGCAGUAUCAAUCUACGGAUCGACAGUACGGUCCGUAGAUCAGUCUACGGACCGUCAAUGGGCGUCGUGGUUCCACACUUGGUCAGAUUUCCCUGAUUUGUCCUCACUACCAUGCCUGCUGAUCUACAGUCAUAACCUACGGACCGUGGAUGGAUCUACGGUCCGUAGAUAACCUCCGUGGAUGCCCUUUUCUGCAAUUCCUUCAGCUGUCUCUAAACUUUCGCGCCUGAACACCUUUCCUGCAAAACAUGAUAAAAUACAUAAAAAACAAUAUAAAAGGGCCCUAGACACACACAACUUGUAAGUGAAAUGUAGUAGAAAUAUCGUAAACUCACGGUAUAUCAGUGGAACGAACCCAACGCUAUGAAAGUCUCAUAUACCUCUUUAGGGAUCAACCCUUGGCGAAAUGACUUCGAUUCCGCAAGAAAUCUCCAAGAACACCUUGAUUUUUCUCCUCUCCUUUUCUUUUCUCUCAAAACCCUAACUUAAUUCUUUAUUACGUAGACUGAACUAACUCAGUUUAGAACCCAAAUUAUUUACCAAAAACAGAUUUAAUUAAUUGGGUAAUGAAAAGACCAAAAUACUUCUCUAAAAUUUGGCUUUGCCUUUCCUUAUCUAGGCAACCCAACUUCGAAUGGGCAUAUCUCCCUCAUACGAACUCGAAAUUGAGCAAACUCAGUGGCGUUGGAAAGAUAAUCCAAAGAUAUUUCCUACGAUAUCUUUUUUGCCACCUAACUAAUCCUGUACUGAGGGUUAUGGUUGUUUGAAGUUGACUCAAUACUCAUACUUAGCUUAACUUUUUCAAGCUUUCCAAAUUUGAUUAUUUCCAAAAUCGGUUUCUUUAAAAUUCUAGUUCUUUCUAGUUAUUUCAAAUAGUGAGCUGUUACAGAGAUCCCCAUAACACAUAACAUAUCCUUAAAUUUAUGCCACCUCCACGAUACAAGGUGCUUUUACGGUCAUGCACACACACCUUGGGUCUUAUGAGUGCUCUAGAAAGACAACCCAAGUAUUUAUCAAAGGCGACCACACCUUUACAUUCAUGUAGGUGAUUCCAUCAAUUCUAUCUCAAAUAGACCACCUGAAGGCUAUAGAAUCAUUAAGAGCAAAAUAAGCUCAAUCUUAUAAAACACUGUCUCACGCCAUAAGGCUAUAAAAUGUGGUGUAUAUUGAGCCUAAUGGGUCAACCACGUUACCUUAAUCAAUGGGCUUUUGCCCCAUCCCCUCGACGUUUCAAGGAUUAUUUUCCUCGACAAUCCUGUGGUAAUAGGAUCCACCAAAAUUCUUUCGGACCUUACAUAGUCCAAGGAAAUAACACUCAGUUUCAACAACUGCUUAAUAACAUCAUGUCUGAUGUGAAUAUGUCUCCUUUUUCUAUUGUACACACUAUUUUUAUUAACCCCUAUUACUGCCUGUGGGUUACAAUGAAGAGAGACUGGUGAAGCUUAUCUUCCCCAUAAUGGUAUAUUUGUUUAAAGAUUUCUCAGCCACUCAACUUCUUGCCCUGCUUAUUCGAGAGCAAUGAAUUCAGAUUCCAUGGUUGAACGGGCUAUAUAAGUUUAUUUGGAAGACUUCCAUGAAAUAGCACAUGCACCCAAAAUAAACACAUAGCCACUGGUGGAGAUAACUUCAUCAUUGUUAGUUACCCAGUUUGCAUCACAAAACCCUUCUAAAACACUAGGAAGUUUAUUAAAAUGUAAACAAUUAUUCAUAGUACCUCUUAAAUACCUUAGCAGCGAUGAAGUGCAUUCCAGUGUUCACUACUGGGAUUAUGAGUAUGUCUACUCAAUCUAUGAACAACAUAUGUUCUAUCAGGCCGAGUAUAGUUCAUGAGAAACAUUACAAUCCCAAUUAUUUUAGCAUAUUCAGUUUUAGAAACACUAGAUUCUUUAUUCUUUCUCUAGUAUAUGCUAGGAUCAUAAAGAGUUCUCAUUGAAACUACAUUAAAACAAUCAAUUUUUUAAAACAUCUUUUAAGUGUAAUGAGAUUGACACAAAGAGAAACCAUUAACAGUUCUUUUGAUUGUAACUCCUAAAAUCACAUCAGCUUUACCAAGAUCUUUUAUUUCAAACUUAAAAGACAAAAAAAAAUACUUAGUCUCAUUAUUAACAUUCACACUAAGGCCAAAGAUUAACAUGUCAUCAACAUUUAAACAUAUAAUCACACAAUCUAAACCCAUCAUUUUAGAAUAAAUACAUGUAUCAGAUGAAUUUACAACAAAGUCAUUAUCUACUAAUGUGAUAUUAAAUUUGCAUACCAUUGCUUAGGUGCCUAUUUUAGUCCAUACAAGGACUUUCUCAAUUUGCAUAUUUUAUCCUCUUGUCCUGGAACAACAAACCCCUCAGGUUGAGUCAUAUAAAUCUCUUCCUUUAAAUCACCAUUUAGAAAUGUUGUUUUGACAUACAUUUGAUGUACCACUAAGUCAUGAAUAGCGGCUAAAGUAAUAAGAGUUCUAAUGGUCGCUAUUUUAGUCACAAGAGAAUAGGUAUCAAAAUAAUCCACACCUUUCUUUUG
rnacentral:lncRNA from 1 species